UACGGGGGGGGCAAGCGUUGUUCGGAAUUACUGGGCGUAAAGGGCGCGUAGGCGGCAAUUCAAGUCAGCUGUGAAAUCUCCGGGCUUAACUCGGAACGGUCAGCUGAUACUGCUUUGCUAGAGUGCAGAAGGGGCAAUCGGAAUUCUUGGUGUAGCGGUGAAAUGCGUAGAUAUCAAGAGGAACACCUGAGGUGAAGACGGGUUGCUGGGCUGACACUGACGCUGAUGCGCGAAAGCCAGGGGAGCAAACGGG
rnacentral:rRNA from 1 species